rnacentral:lncRNA from 1 species
GGAUGGCCCAGGGCUCCAAAGGCUCGUUUCCUAAGUGAGAGAGAGCCUGGCUGAAGCUGUAUUACCAUUCAUUCUCCAGCCUCCGAAGUCUCAAAGCAUCACUUCCACCAUACUCUAACUGUCAAGACAAACACAAAGGCCCAGAAACUGCCAGACUGUCUUCUGAAGUGGCUAUAAUAUUUACACUCCCAUCAGCAGUGUAGAAGGGGUCUCACUAUGUUGUCUGGAGUGCUGUGGUGGAGUGGAGUGGCUAUUCACAGAGCCUGUUCUGCUGGGACACAGAAUCACUUGCUCCAUCUCAUACAUUGAUGAUGAUUAAUUUGUAUGUGUACCUUCCAAAAAAGAUGGUUGUGUUUGAAUGGAGGCCUUCUGGACAGGAAAAUAUGGAGAGUGCGUGCUUUGGAUUCAAGACUGGGAAUGAGGGGACCAGAAACCUAUUCUGUGGCUGUUUCUUGUUAGGACUUUCCUAAGCCUCUGGAAAAGUGCAAAGUACAAUUAACAUUUGAGUCUGUCUGAGUCAUGAAGAAAUGGAGAUUACUGAAAAUAAUUCAUUUUGGUAUCUUCUUACAUCCUGAGAGACUAAUCUUUCCAAGUUCAUCUGAGGCUCCUCUUCUCCAUGACAACCUCAUCCAGGGAUUUCUUCCUGUCCUGGUGUUUUAUGACAUAAUCACAUCCUUCCUGAGAUAAUGAGCACACAAUUGCCUGGAUACCUGAAGGAAUGGAGACAGCGGCAGAAAACACUGCAGAGAGGUGGAAACAUCCGUUAAUAUUUUAAAAUCCCAUUACUGCUACCAACAAUAAUAAUGGAUGCAUAGAAAUAGAUCUGGAUUAGCUGAGCUUGAAACAGUCCAUCUCACACACACACAAAAGAAUUUCAGAUACAGUGAACCCACAUGUUGAAGCUUUCUAGUAUAAUAAAAAUUUCAACUGUUCUGUUGAAUCAUCUGCCUGAUUGGAGGCUACAGAAAAGAUGUCAUCUUAGGAGUGCUUGCUCUGAGUGAGGCUCAUCUUCAAAUCUGAAUGACCACAAGGAGAUUUGAUUAUACAUGUGAACACCUCAGAAGGCACAGCCCACCCAGAAGGCAGACAGAAGAAGCUGCCAGGAAGACUGUGAAAUCUUCAUGCCCAAGGAUCCCUAAAAUUAGGAGCAACAACCACUUGGCUCAGACGGUUUAUGGAGGCAAAGGUUUGGAUGGGAUUAGAGAUUUCUAAAUGUGAGUUCGUGUCCUCUGCCAGACCACCUUACUUCCACCAUUCCUCAGCAAAUCAAGAAAAACAGGAGAAAAGACAUGCCUUUCCAUAAGUUAAAUCUAUUCUGUUUUAAUUCUAUAUUAUAUCUGCUGUACAACUUCUUUUGUUUGUAACACCAUAUUGUUGCUAGUAACUGGAAAUUAAUUUUCACAUGCCUCAGCUUAGAAAAAUAAAAAGCAGCCCUGCAUCAAUCCCAA